rnacentral:misc_RNA from 1 species
AUACGCAUCGCGAAAAGCUUAUGCCGAGACGAGGCCAAGAAUCAAAGGAAGAUUCGCGAAGCGAAUAGAUAUUGAAGUAGAAGCAGAUCGAGGCAGUAUCUACGGAUUCGUGGUUCCAUCCUUUUAAUCCCUCUGUAACAAAUAAAAUUUUUUGUUGCUGUUGUCGUUGUUGUUGACGUGUUAAAAGCAGUGUAUAUAAGUAGUUGAAGCCUGGUGCUUGAUCGAUGGAUUGGCGACCGUCGAUCUUGUAGUAGUUUUGUGCAAUAAUGAGUUUUGCUUUUUUUUUUUUUUUUUA